ACUCUCUUGCCCUUCCACUCAUUGCUGGCAACGAGAAAGAGCCUGGCCAGCUAUUCCAAGGAGGAAGACAGGAGACAUGUGGACUUGAACUUCCCUGUCUAAAAUGCCCCAGGCAAGUCCAACCUAGAACAGAGCCUGCCGCAGAAUCACACUCAUGAGUCGUGAAUCUAUCUGAUGAUGUCAAAUCAGGGUUUGAGAGAUGUUUGUUACACAGCAGGAGCUGACUGAUAUAUCAAGAAAGCCAACUAUGAGUAGGGAAGAAAAGCUCAAGACGAGGACUCUGAAGAAUUGGUGUAGACAAGCCCCGGGUGAAGAAGGAGUGUGUUGGAGAACGGGUGCUUGAGUCACAGGAGCUGUGGAAAUAAGCUUGGUCUUCACCCACGGCAAAGGCUUAGCCCUGCAGGUCGGCUCCACGUCCUGCCCGCGGGCCGCUUCUGCUUAACAUCUGGGCUCCAGGCCGCCCUCUGGAGCUUUUGCACCCAGGCCGGGCGACUUUCCUGCUUCCAUCCGGUCUCCAUUAGGCUUGACUCCAAGCUGCAGUUGGGGUCACGCCUGCCCCACAUGCCUCUCAUCCCCUCUGGACCAGCUGCUGCUCUGGCGUGUUAUUUCUCACGGUGACGGAAGAGGUUGAUAGAUGAAACCAUGGAAUCCCA